CAAGUCUGCAUAUGUACAGGAGGAUUGGGAGAUAAAGCUGUCAGCCAAAUAAGUGUUUGGCCAACAGUUCUCUCAUGUGUAGGAUCAGCUAAAGGAGAAAGCACAGAAGCAGUGAUAACUGAUUCUGUAUUGCUGCUUUAGCAUCCAGCUCUGAAGAGUAAAGCAAAAUGUAUAGAACAUGGUUGGGAAAAAAUGUAGGCAAUGGGAUUCUGACUACAGAGCCUUUUUUACUUUUUAAUGCCAUAAUAUCAGUGUUUGAAAUCAUCCCAAACAAUUUACGCAGGGAUUGUGCGUACAGCUUGGAGUCCCGGAUACAAGGAGCACAUGGAAGAACAUUCGUAGCUUCAGAUCAGAAUACCAUUAUAAACAUGCAAAUGUGAUUGUUUGGCAUGGAUUCUCAGGAUGAUAUUAAAUCAAAUAGAUUCUAGGAAUGGAAAGGUUUGGCUGAAUGUUAUGAAAAAAAGAUGCAUUAUUUAGAAAAUAAAAAUAUUUUUCAGUUGCUUUUCACAGAUGCUCACAACAUAAAAAAAAAAAAAUAUGUCAAAGGAAACCAACCUGUAUACAUCUACAAACAUUUACUGCAACACUAAAGGCGUCUUAUUUAUUGUGCACCAAAAUAA